AUCUACCACAGAGUGCACUUUGUCUCUGGGGGCGACAAGUCAACACAUUCACGCUCCUAUAUAAACAGGCUGGGCCAGUGGUGCCUCUUACUCUGUUUUCUAGAGAAGAGGGAAUACAAUACGAGUGACACAAUGAAUAAGCUGCUUGUCAUUACUGUGCUGGUUGCGCUCCUUGCUCUCAGCACUGAAAGCUUCCGUAUGCCGAGGCAGGCUGAGGAGGAGCAGGGGACCCUGACCAAGAUCACAGGCACCAUAAGGUCCUACUAUGACAACGUCGUCGACGUUGCCAGUGGAUACGUGGAUAGCAUCAAGGGCCUGAAGCUGGAGGAGAAGGCAAAGCAUCUUUACACUGAUACUACCACAGUCGUGAGCACAUACGCUGGCAUCUUACACGACCAGGUGUACCACAUCUUUUACCAUAAUUAAACAAAAACUGAUUUCCAAUGGCCUCAGCUACAUUUUCUGACAACAUGAGAACUUUCAAGCUCAACACGAAAGGCCCAAACGUCAAUUGGCAUUUCGAAUUUGCUCAUAUCUCACCUCACCCCAGCCUCAAAACCGACAAACAGCAUCUUCAAAAAGAAAAAUAGUGGACCCACUGCUCUUUGUGGGGCUUUCUUGGGCCACUGCACUGGUGGCAAAUGAUGAUAACCACCCAACGGGGACUGUAAUCCUUUGAAAAAAAACAACAACAACUAACAGCUUGUACAGAGGAACAGGACAGAAGAAGUUGGCGGUCACAAGGGAAAUAGCACACAGCACCUUAUCAUGUACCACUGAACUUCUACCUGGGUGUCAGAGUUAAGAAACAAUCAUGCAAAUAAUGUAAUGAUCUAUCGCCACCUACUGGUGUUUUCAGUCAUCCCACCUCUGAAUAAAUAAAAUAUUUGUGUCAUAUCUUGAAAUAAAAUAUUUAUAAAAAAAAAAAAUCUGGUGUCUAUGGUGGAUAAAUGAGAAUUUAGUUUACUGUUUGAUAUAGUAAAUUGUGCAUAUUUCUCCUGUCUCGCUGUGUAAGACCUGCGUUUCCUUUAAUCUCACUGACGCAAACGAUCACGUGUUUAUGUCUGUAUGAAUCUGCAAUGAGGCGCCCUGCUUUUAUCAGCGGAGGCAGCACCAGAACAGAGGCUUCUGCUGUGAUUAAUAAUGGAUGAAAAGAAACAACAUGUAAAAUGUGAGCGCAGAGAUGAAUAAACAACACUAUGAGGUC